rnacentral:rRNA from 1 species
GAUACUGGCGGACGGGUGAGUAACACGUGGGCAACCUGCCCUGUAGACGGGGAUAACACCGGAGAAAUCGGUGCUAAUACCGGAUAAUACGAAAAGACCGCAUGGUCUUCGUUGAAAGGCGGCGCGAGCUGUCGCUACAGGAUGGGCCCGCGGCGCAUUAGCUAGUUGGUGAGGUAACGGCUCACCAAGGCGACGAUGCGUAGCCGACCUGAGAGGGUGAUCGGCCACACUGGGACUGAGACACGGCCCAGACUCCUACGGGAGGCAGCAGUAGGGAAUCUUCCGCAAUGGACGAAAGUCUGACGGAGCAACGCCGCGUGAGUGAUGAAGGUUUUCGGAUCGUAAAGCUCUGUUGUUAGGGAAGAACAAGUACCGUUCGAAUAGGGGCGUACCUUUGAGGGUACCUAACCAGAA